UGCAGUUAAAAAGCUCGUAGUUGAACCUUGGGCCUGGCUGGCCGGUCCGCCUCACCGCGUGCACUGGUCCGACCGGGUCUUUCCUUNUGAGGAGCCGCAUGCCCUUCACUGGGUGUGUCGGGGAAUCAGGACUUUUACUUUGAAAAAAUUAGAGUGUUCAAAGCAGGCCUAUGCUCGAAUACAUUAGCAUGGAAUAAUAGAAUAGGACGUGUGGUUCUAUUUUGUUGGUUUCUAGGACCGCCGUAAUGAUUAAUAGGGAUAGUCGGGGGCAUCAGUAUUCAAUUGUCAGAGGUGAAAUUCUUGGAUUUAUUGAAGACUAACUACUGCGAAAGCAUUUGCCAAGGAUGUUUUCAUUAAUCAGUGAACGAAAGUUAGGGGAUCGAAGA
rnacentral:rRNA from 1 species